GACGAACGCUGGCGGCGUGCUUAACACAUGCAAGUCGAACGGAAAGGCCUUUCUCGGGGGGUACUCGAGUGGCGAACGGGUGAGUAACACGUGAGUAAUCUGCCCUUCACUUCGGGAUAAGCCUGGGAAACUGGGGCUAAUACCGGAUAGGAGCCCCUGCUGGAGGGAUGGGGGUGGAGAGUUUUGGGUGUGGGGUGAGCUCGCGGCGUAUCAGCUUGUUGGUGGGGUAAUGGCGUACCAAGGCGGCUACGGGUAGCCGGCCUGAGAGGGUGAGCGGCCACAUUGGGACUGAGAUACGGCCCAGACUCCUACGGGAGGCAGCAGUGGGGAAUAUUGCACAAUGGGUGGAAGCCUGAUGCAGCGACGCCGCGUGCGGGAUGACGGCCUUCGGGUUGUAAACCGCUUUCGCUAGGGACGAAGCUUUGUGUGACGGUACUUGGUAAAGAAGCACCGGCUAACUACGUG
rnacentral:rRNA from 1 species